AUUAUACCCCCUCCGUCCGAAAAUACUUGUCAUCAAAAUGGAUAUAAGGGGAUGUAUCUAGAUGUAUUUUAGUUCUAAAUACAUCUCCUUUUAUCCAUUUUGAUGACAAGUAUUUUCGGACGGAGGGAGUAUAAU
rnacentral:pre_miRNA from 1 species